rnacentral:rRNA from 1 species
UACAGAGGGGGCAAGCGUUGUUCGGAAUUACUGGGCGUAAAGGGCGCGUAGGCGGCCUGCUAAGUCGAACGUGAAAUCCCCGGGCUCAACCCGGGAACUGCGUCCGAUACUGGCAGGCUUGAAUCCGGGAGGGGGAUGUGGAAUUCCAGGUGUAGCGGUGAAAUGCGUAGAUAUCUGGAGGAACACCGGUGGCGAAGGCGGCGUCCUGGACCAACACUGACACUGAGGAGCGAAAGCCAGGGGAGCAAACGGG